rnacentral:rRNA from 1 species
ACUGCUCAGUAACACGUGGACAACCUGCCCUUAGGUUGGGUAUAAACCCGGGAAACUGGGUAUAAUACCCGAUAGGUCUCGAUUGCUGGAAUGCAUCGAGAUUUAAAGCUCCGGCGCCUAAGGAUGGGUCUGCGGCCUAUCAGGUAGUAGUGGGUGUAGCGUACCUACUAGCCUACGACGGGUACGGGUUGUGAGAGCAAGAGCCCGGAGAUGGAUUCUGAGACACGAAUCCAGGCCCUACGGGGUGCAGCAGGCGCGAAAACUUUACAAUGCUGGCAACAGCGAUAAGGGAACCUCGAGUGCCAGGUUACAAAUCUGGCUGUCGAGAUGCCUAAAAAGCAUUUCAUAGCAAGGGCCGGGCAAGACCGGUGCCAGCCGCCGCGGUAACACCGGCGGCUCGAGUGGUAACCGUUAUUAUUGGGUCUAAAGGGUCUGUAGCCGGCCGGAUAAGUCUCUUGAGAAAUCUGGCAGCUUAACUGUCAGGCUUUCAGGAGAUACUGUCUGGCUCGAGGCCGGGAGAGGUGAGAGGUACUUCAGGGGUAGGGGUGAAAUCUUGUAAUCCUUGAAGGACCACCAGUGGCGAAGGCGUCUCACCAGAACGGACCUGACGGCAAGGGACGAAAGCUAGGGGCACGAACCGGAUUAGAUACCCGGGUAGUCCUAGCCGUAAACGAUACUCGCUAGGUGUCGGCCACGGUGCGACCGUUGUCGGUGCCGUAGGGAAGCCGUGAAGCGAGCCACCUGGGAAGUACGGCCGCAAGGCUGAAACUUAAAGGAAUUGGCGGGGGAGCACCACAACGGGUGGAGCUUGCGGUUUAAUUGGAUUCAACGCCGGAAAUCUUACCGGGACCGACAGCAAUAUGAAGGCCAGGCUGAAGACUUUGCCGGAUUAGCUGAGAGGUGGUGCAUGGCCGUCGUCAGUUCGUACUGUGAAGCAUCCUGCUAAGUCAGGCAACGAGCGAGACCCCCACC